rnacentral:rRNA from 1 species
CACAGCAGCGUUUCCGCCUUGUAGCCUGAUCUGGUCUGUAGCCUGAUCUCAGAAGCUAAGGUCUCAAGGCUGACCCUGAUCAGUACCAGGAUGGGAGACCUUUAAGGAAAACCAGGUUGCUGCAGUAA